rnacentral:lncRNA from 1 species
GGGACUACAGGCGCCCGCCACCACGCCCUUCUCAAGUAUUCUUAGCUUGAGAUGAUGGAUUAGAAGAAUAGAUUUCAGUGUUUAAGCACAUUUGCUUGUGCAAAGCAUAAUUGUGUCCACCUGCAGUAGUGUGUGAUUGGUCCCUGGUGCCUUAUUUAGUUCACCUGGUGACAUCAUGUUUUCCUGGAUGGUACUGAAGCUAGUAGAUGUUCUUCAGUGCCUGGGCGUUGAAGAGUCAGGACAUCCAUAAAAAUUCAUCAGAGAGCAUUUUACUACUGAGCUGCAAAGGUAGGAAAAAUAAAUUUUUUUUGGUUAGAAAAUAUACUUCUUUCAUCUGCGUUUCAAUAAUUUAUUCCCCUUGUUAGAUAUACAUGGAAUUGAUAUUGCUUAUUCUGACUAAGUGAAAAGUGUUAUUUCUACUUACUGCUCAAUUAGAAACAUGUAGUGUUUAAUUGUCAGUUUGAAUUUUUCUUUCAUACUAUUACAGUUUAUAUUUUACUAUAGGCAGAAUUUCCUCUUUAUCCUAAAUUUUGAUAUUCUCCAUAAUUUCAUCGUGCCUUGACAUUGCUGUAUAUAAUUUCUAUACAUCAGGAAGGCAAUUCUGUGUGCAUGUGUGUGUGUAUAUAUAUAGUUAGAAGUUAGAAACUGAAACUCUUUUUUGUCUACCAUCAUUUCAUAUUUUUCUUGCUAUUUCAAACCUAUAAUUUUUAAAGAAACGACUAACGUAAUCAUUCAUAGAAUAUGCUGUCAGUAACUUAACAAUAUAAAUGUUAACAUGGAGGCAUUUAGUUCAGCAUUUGCUUUACUUAAUAGAGUGCAGAAAAUGUGGCCCUUUUCUCAGUUAGGGUGUAUGUGAAGAUAAAUUUAGAAUUUCUAGACUAGUAAAUACUUCUCUGAUAAUAACUUAAUUAUAGCUAUUUCAAACCAAAUUGUUUAAUUGUGGUGAAUCAUAUGUAAAUUGUUCAGAUGUAGGUCAACACCCACGCCCACAUUCUAGCACCUCUUUCCUAAUUCAAGACAACUUUGCAGUGCCUAAAAGAGCUGAACAGUGCAGAUUAGAGACAUAAGACAAAAAAAAAAAAAAAA